rnacentral:ncRNA from 2 species
CAGGGCGCAGGGGAUGGAGUCCCCCUUGAACCGCGAAUGCCGCUGAUGACUCCUGCUGUACG